rnacentral:lncRNA from 1 species
CCCCCUACAGUGAAAAAACCUUAGCCACCAUCAUCAAGGAGCAAGAAGAAUCCCUAGUCCAGCCGCCUAAGGCUUCCUAGUCCUACUAGGAUUACUUGCUGCCCGAUUUUUGUUUGCUAAUGCCUCUCCUUUGAGUCUUAAGACUUGGUUGCUGGUUCUAGACCUUUUUCAAGACCCCAAGAUGUGGUGUUUCUAGUUUGAAGCCCAGA